rnacentral:tRNA from 1 species
UGCCUUGUGGGGUAAACGGCAGCCCACUGGAUUUUGGCUCCGGAAGUUCAGGUUCGAGCCCUGGCGAGGCAGC